UUUUGUUAGUUUUAACGGCAAGUCACAGCAGGCUGGUAUGGAAAUCACAGUAACAGCCUUCCUGAAGCUUGCAAGAGAAAAUUGAACUGU